UACGUAGGGUGCGAGCGUUGUCCGGAAUUAUUGGGCGUAAAGAGCUUGUAGGCGGUCUGUCGCGUCUGCCGUGAAAGUCCGGGGCUCAACUCCGGAUCUGCGGUGGGUACGGGCAGACUAGAGUGAUGUAGGGGAGACUGGAAUUCCUGGUGUAGCGGUGAAAUGCGCAGAUAUCAGGAAGAACACCCGUGGCGAAGGCGGUUCUCUGGGACGGUACUGACGCUGAGACGCGAAAGCGUGGGGAGCGAACAGG
rnacentral:rRNA from 1 species